rnacentral:rRNA from 1 species
GGGCGAUGAAGGCCUUCGGGUUGUAAAGCCCUUUUAUGGGGGAAGAGACCAGGACUGUACCCCUAGAAUAAGCGUCGGCUAACCUACGUGCCAUCAGUCGCGGUAAAACGUAGGAUGCAAGCGUUGUCCGGAUCUACUGGGCGUAAAGACGCGUUGACGCGGUUCCGUAAGUUGGUCGUGAAAGCCCCGGGCUUAACCCGGGGAGGUCGUUCACUACUGCGGGACUUGAGGGCAGCGUAGGGAGGCUGAAUUCCCGGUGUAGCGCUGAAGUGCGUAGAUCUCGGGAGGAACGCCAGUGGCGAAGGCUGCCUCCUGGCCUGUUUCUGACGCUGAAGGCGAAAGCUAGGCGAGCGAACGGGAUUAGCAACCCCGGUAGUCCUAGCCGUAAACGAUGGAUGCUGGCUCUGGGGGCUAUAGAUCCCCUCCGUGCCGAAGCUAACGCGUUAAGCAUCCCGCCUGGGGAUUACGGCCGCAAGGCUUAAACUCAUACGAAUUGACGGGGGCCCGCACAAGCAGCGGAGCGUGUGGUUUAAUUCGAUGCUACACGAAGUACCUUACCUGGGCUUGACAUGUAGGUAGUAUUGAUGCGAAAGCGGAACGACCCUUCGGGGAGCCUACACAGGUGCUGCAUGGCUGUCGUCAGUUCG